UGGAGUGCUGCAGAGAUGAUUGUCCUCCCAUCUCCACAGAGGAACUCUGACAGAGUGACCAUCAGGUUCUUGGUCACCUCCCUGACCAAGGCCCUUCUCCGAUUGCUCAGUUUGGCCGGGCAGCCAGCUCAAGGAAUGAUGAAUUCCACUUAGAUGGUGGGGACCUUCAAUGCUGCAGAAAUGUUUCAGUACCCUUCCCCAGAUCUGUGCCUCGACACAAUCUUGUCUCGGAGCUCUACGGACAAUUCCUUCGACCUCGUGGCUUAGUUUUUGACAUGCACUGUCAACUGUGGGACCUUAUAUAGACGUGUGUGCCUUUCCAAAUCAUGUCCAAUCAAUUGAAUUUACCACAUGUGGACUCCAAUCACGUUGUAGAAACAUCUCAAGGACGAUCAAUGGAAACAGGACGCACCUGAGCUCAAUGUUGAGUCUCAUAGCAAAGGGUCUGAAUACUUGUGUAAAUAAGGUAAUUCUGUUUUUUUUUAUGUGCAAAAAUGUCUAAAAUCUGUUUUUUGCUUUGUCAUUAUGGGCUAUUGUGUGUAGAUUGAUAAUUCGUUCAAAUAUUGAAUCCAUCUGAGAAUAAGGCUGUAACGUAACAAAAUGUGGAAAAAGUCAAGGGUCUGAAUACUUUCCGAAUGCAGUGUAUAUCACCCAGCCCUAUAAUGCAGUCAAGAUGCUCUCAAUGGUGCAGCUGUUUAACUUUGAGGAUCUGAGGGCCCAUGUCAAAUCUUUUCAGCCUCCUGAGGGGGAAGGCUUUGUUUUGCCCUCUUGACAUCUGUGUUGGUGUAUGGGUACCGUGAUCAAUCCUUAGUGAUGUGGACACCGUGGAACUUUAAGCUCUCGACCUGCUCCACUACAGCUUGUCGACGUGAAUGAGGGCGUGCUCGGCCCUACGUUUUCUGUAGUCCAUGAUUAGCUCCUUUGUCUUGCUGACGUUGAGGGAGAGAAUCAUUAGCUGAAGCAGAAGAAACAGACUGUGGUCAAGAGCGCCAAGAAGGGGGUUCACACUGGACCUGACCCACCCUGUGGAGUACAGUAUCCUGGACUCUGCCAACUUCGGUUCCCUUCCCUAGUCACUGCUCUUUCCAACAGGAAACCUUUCUCAAUGAGAGGGUAAAGGUCAAUGGCAAGACAGGAAAUCUGGCAAAUGUAGUCGAGAUCAACCUUCUGAAAAACAAGCUCCACGUCACAGAACCAGCUUUCCAAGAGGUACCUGAAGAAGAACAACCUCCGUGAUUGGUUGAGAGUCGUGUUGUCAAACAAGGAGACUUACGAGCUGAGAUACUUCCAGAUCAGCCAGGAAAAGGACAAUGGCGAGUAGAGCCAAGCUCCGCCCACCUGCCCCAGCAUGCAGGACUGGAGACUGGCCAGUCCAUCACACUUGCCACUUGUUUGUGAGAGGGAAAGUCUUCUGUGAGAGACAUUUGUAUUUGUCAGUGGAUAGACUGUAAACUUCAGUGUGUCAUCAUGUCUCUAGUUUUGAUGGGAGAAUAAAUUAGAUCAACAAAACA